rnacentral:rRNA from 1 species
CGGGGGAUAUUGCACAAUGGGCGAAAGCCUGAUGCAGCGACGCCGCGUGGGGGAUGAAGGCCUUCGGGUUGUAAACUUCUUUUGCUCUGAACAAGGCGCACCAUGGGGUGUGUUGAGUGUAGGGGUUGAUUAGCGCCGGCUAACUACGUGCCAGCAGCCGCGGUAAUACGUAGGGCGCGAGCGUUGUCCGGAAUUAUUGGGCGUAAAGGGCUUGUAGGUGGCUGGUUGCGUCUGUCGUGAAAGCUCAUGGCUUAACUGUGGGUUUGCGGUGGGUACGGGCUGGCUUGAGUGCAGUAGGGGAGGCUGGAAUUCCUGGUGUAGCGGUGGAAUGCGCAUAUAUCAGGAGGAAUACCGGUGGCGAAGGCGGGUCUCUGGGCUGUUACUGACACUGAGGAGCGAAAGCAUGGGGAGCGAACAGG